UACUGGCCUGUCACUCUGCAUCCAUAGCAACUAAACCCAGGUCUGAAAAUUAGAAGACCUGGCUCAUGAAGGGAUGAGAUCUCACAAGAGAUAAUAUCAAUAAUCUGUCUUUUUGGAUGUUCUAUCAGAGAUUACAUUUAUUUUUAAGAAGUAACAUCUAACCUUUCAGAGUUCAAAAAUGAGUUUCUUUUUGUAAUAUAGUAGAGGAGAAAGUUCCGGAAGUGGCAACUUAAUUUGAAUCUAAUUUCAGCAAAAUAAUUGCAGACUGCUUCCAGCUUGAAUGAGCGGUGAGGUAUAGCUCCCAGUAGUUACUUAUUUUAGUAGCACUCCCUCAGGAUGAAUGCUAGCUAUUUUCAGUUGCAUGUGGGAAAACCAAGGGCCCUGCCAAGUUGUGGCAAGUUGGCAUUGUGUGUAUGAGCUGUCAUCUAGGAUGCUUAGUUCCACUCAGUUUCAUUUCUAACUUGCAGUUGGCAUGUGACCUUUUUCUUUGUUCCAUUUAGGGUCCUGAUCACUUCCUUUCUCUGCUGCUUUACCUUCCCACUGAUCUCUACCCCCACAGGCAGCUUUUGGCUGAAUCCAUCUAAUAAUAACAGUGUGAGUGCCAAGUGGGUUGUGUAAAAUCCUUAGGGAGAGAUGUGAAAUGAAGCACAUUGUUCUUCAGGGCUCCUAAGGACCAGAAUGUACCCAUCAACACAAACAAACUAAUAUGCAAUGAAAUUAUAUGUCUCUCUAUAUAAUUUAUGCAGAAUGGAGUAAUGCUGAGAUGGGGCCUUAAAUAGCUCUUGGUAUAUGUGGUAAGUAGCCUCUAAAACAGCUCCCAGUAACCACCACUUCCUGAUAUUCAUGCCUUUGUGUAACCUCCCCUUGAAUGUGGCUUGAUGGACCUGGUGUCUGGCUUUAAACAAAUAGAAUACAGCAAAAGUGAUGGGAUGUCACUUCCAAGAUGGGGUUACAAAAAGCCUCUCGCUCUCUCAGCUGACUGCCAUGUUGUAAGUCACCCAUGGAGAGGCUCUUGUGGCAAAGAUCUGAUGUCUCCAGCCAACAGUCAUGUGAGGAGCCUGAAGGUGAUCCUCCCUCAGCAGAACCUUGAGUUGAUUUUGGUCCUGGCAGACACCUUGGUUACAGCCCAUGAGACCCUGAUCCAGAGGACCACUAAGCUGCAACUGGAUUCCUGAUCCAUAGAAACUGAGCUGCUGCUUCUGCCUGAAACCAGACAACCAGCCUCUUCUCCGCAAGAUAAAGUCCUGCUCACCCUUGACACCUGGCUCAGAUGUGACCUCUGGAAAACCUUCCUAACUCAGUCAGGCAGAGCUCCUGUCCAUGGCCUUGGGGUCUCCACAAGGCUUUGCCUCUGCCUGUGCUGUCUUCAUUGGCAGGAUUGCUAGGCGUAACUCCUGGAGGAGAGCACCCUCGGGUGGCCCCACGGCAGGGGCUGACGCUGCCUGGAGGAGGACUUGUUUUCCUGCAUGUGUGGAAGACUCUUCAGCCAGCCAGGUGGAACAGUAACUGAUUGGCCUCGCCUCUCCCUUAGGUGAUCCUCACCCUUCUUUGAUUGUCAUCUCUCUCAGCAGUUUUGUAGCAGGCAAAUAAUGUUUUCUUAUUUGUUCAAAAAUCUUAAAUCUAGGGGUGUAAGGCCUGUCAACUGGUUUAAUU